rnacentral:lncRNA from 1 species
GAGAAGGAUCUGUUAAGCACAGACUUCUCAGUGAAUCGUCCAGUGACAAGAUCCACAUCACGUGGUCGUAACAGAGAGGUUGUGUAUAGUGUGUAUAAGGAGAGGUAGAGGUAGGUCGAAGAAGUACUGGGAAGAGGUCAGCUUCAGCUUACCAAGAAUUUGACUUUAGAUAAGGGGGUAUGGAGGUCGCUGAUUAAGGUAGAAGGUUAGUAGGUAGUUAAGCUUUGACUCACUUUUCGGCGGGUUUAGGCUUGGUAGGAGCCUAGGAGCACCGUGUCUGUUGUAGUAUUAGCCUUAUACAUAUAUUUUCUUUGUAGUUACCACAUUAUUUGUUGUUAUUGUUUCUUUAUCUGAAUGCUCCGUACCGCUUCCCUUUAUUAAUUGACAUAUUUUCUUUAUUGUCCUCUUCCUUUUUUUGUAAAUACUUUGAUUUACUUCACUUGAGUCGAUCAGAAACAACCUCUCUAUCUCUACGAGGUAGGGGCAAGUCUGCGUACACUCUAUCCUCCCCAGACCAGUUUGUGGGAUUACACUUGUAUGUCGUCGUUGUUGUUGUGUGUGUAUGAGGUGAGUAUUAGGUUUUACUCAAAGAGUUGCUUGUAGAGGUUAUUGGUUUCAUGGUUUGUGGAUGAAUGUGAAAGUUGGGUGUCUUGAAAGGUGUAAAGUCCAAGUCUUUGACCUAAAGCAUUUUUGGGCGAGAAAUAACUAAAACCGGGGGUCUAUCGGAAACAACCGCUCUAUUUCUCCGGAGGUAGUGGUAUGGACUGUGUACAUUUUACCCUCCCCAGAUCGCACUAUGUGGGAAUACACUGGGUUUGUUGUUGUUGUUGUUGUAAAUAACUAAAGUACUAAAACACGAAGGUGAAAAAUUUGAAGAAUUUGGAUGAAUAGGUUGUAUAAUUGACGGAUUGGGGUAUUAGAUUCAACUAGAGUGUUGGAUUGUUAUUGAAUGAAACGAUUUUUUGGCAGUUUUGUGAAAUAGUACUAAGCUUGAGCCGCAAAUAGAAGUUGAAGUUUGAGAUAUGAGGUCUCAUCUUCAUCUUAAAUGAGUUGUAUAAAUUGGUAGUUUGUAGCCUAUAAGCUUAAAGUAUUUUUCCUUUUUACUGAGAUGGUGAUAUAUUGAGUAAAUAUAAUUGAACGUAUUCUCUUAGAAAAUUUCUUCGGUGAUGUAAACGGUUCUCUGCAGAAUCCAUGUUUCAGGUUGUUGUGGUUGAUGUAAUAUGUGCUUAGGUAAAUAUGUAUAGAUGUGGGAAUAUAUGUUUUUGUGUAUAAGGUGAGUUUUAGUUUUUAGUCAAAGAAUUGCUUGUCGCUGUUAUUAGUUUUAUGGGUUGUGGAUUUAUAUGAAAGUUGGUCUAUGGAAAGGGCAAUGACCAAGUUGUUGAUCUAAGCGUUUUCAUGUGAGAAAUAAAUAGAGAACUAAAACAAGAAGAGAAAAAAGUAGAAUAAUUUGGAUGAAUAGGUUGUAUAAUUAAGGGAUUGGGGUAUUGGAUUCAACUAGUGUUCAAUGGUGAUAGAAUGAAGAAUUUUAAACGCUUUUGUUAAGUAGUACGUAUUAGAUUUAGCAGCAAUUUUGAUUGAGGUUUGAGGUCUCAUCUCCAGCUUGAAUGAGUGUUAUAGAAAUUGGUAGUUUGUAGCCUAUAAGCUUCAAGUAUUUUGCUUUUCAAGUGAGAUGGUGAUACAUGAUAGACUAAAUAUAAAAGAAAAGAUUUUUUCUUAGAUCUUCGGCGAUCUAUGCAGUUCUCCAUAGAACCAUGUUACUUGUUGUGUGCGUGCUUAGAUAAAUAUGCAUAGAUGUGGGAUUCUUUUUCUUAGUUAAGGAGUUGUUUGCGGAGGUUAUUGGUUUUCUCGGUUGUGGUUGUGGAUAAAUGUGCAAAUUGGUGUCUGGAAAGGUGUAAAGUCUGUAAGUCUUUUUUGUCCCGAGGCUUUUCACGUGACAUAACAAAUUAAGAACCUAAACAACGAGAACAAGAGGUCUGCGUACGUACUACUCUGCCCAUAUGGGAUUACACUAGAUAUGUUGUUGUCGUUGUUGUAGGAUGCUAGUUAAAGGAUUUGGAUGUUAGAUUCAACUAGAGUAGUUGAAUGGUUAUAGAAUGAAGAAUUUUAGCGCUUAUGUGAAAUAGUAAGUUUUACCAACAGUUUAGAUUGAGGUUUGAUGUCUCUUAUCUCCAUGUUAAACGGGUCCUAGAAAUUUUUAGUUGUAGCGUACUCGCUUCAAGUGGAGUGUAAGAUGCGGGAAGCACGAUUGAGAUGGUUCGGACACGUGAAGAGGAGGGGCAUGGAUGCCCCGGUCCGUAGGUGUGAGAGGCUAGCGUUGGAUGGUUUUAGGCGGGGUAGGGGUAGGCCGAAGAAGUACUGGGGUGAGGUGAUUAGGCGGGACAUGGAACAGUUACAGCUCACCGAGGACAUGACCCUAGAUAGGAAGGUCUGGAAGACGCGAAUUACGGCAGAAGAGUAGGGCCAGAUUGGGUCGCUAGUGUAGGGAAUUACUUGGGGGGGUUUUUUUAUUUUUUAUUCCUGUUAUGAUUCCGUAUUCAGUGUUCCAUGCUUAUUACGAAUCUGUGUGCUUUCCUCUGCUUGCCUCUGUUUUGUAUUCCGUAUGGGUGCCGUAUUUAUAUUAUUGUCAUCUGCUUCUGUGCUUUACUAUGUGUUUGUGUGAUAUCUUGUGCCUGAGCCGGGGGUCUUUCGGAAACAGCCUUUCUACUUCAUCAGAGGUAGAGGUAUGGACUGCGUACAUCUUACCCCCCCAGACCCCACUAAGUGGGAAUACACUGGGUUUGUUGUUGUUGUUGUUGUACUCGCUUCAAGUAUUUUUCUUUUUUUACUAAGAUGGUGAUAAGUUAAUCGAAUUGAUGUUCAGGUUAACAAUUCACUUAAGGCCGAUAACA